UAAACGACUNUCGGCAACGGAUAUCUCGGCUCUCGCAUCGAUGAAGAACGUAGCGAAAUGCGAUACUUGGUGUGAAUUGCAGAAUCCCGUGAACCAUCGAGUCUUUGAACGCAAGUUGCGCCCGAAGCCUUCUGGCUGAGGGCACGCCUGCCUGGGCGUCACGCA
rnacentral:rRNA from 1 species